rnacentral:rRNA from 1 species
UGCCAGACUCCUACGGGAGGCAGCAGUAGGGAAUUUUCGUCAAUGGGCGCAAGCCUGAACGAGCAAUGCCGCGUGAACGAGGAAGGUCUUCGGAUCGUAAAGCUCUGUUGACGGGGAAAAAAGACCGGGAAAGGAAAUGAUCCCGGAGGAGAUAUUACCCGUCGAGGAAGUCACGGCUAACUACGUGCCAGCAGCCGCGGUAAUACGGAGGGUGCGAGCGUUAAUCGGAAUCACUGGGCGUAAAGCGCGCGUAGGCGGCUUUUCAAGUCAGGGGUGAAAUCCCACGGCCCAACCGUGGAACUGCCUUUGAAACUGUAGAGCUUGAGUGUCGGAGAGGGUGGCGGAAUUCCAGGUGUAGGAGUGAAAUCCGUAGAUAUCUGGAGGAACACCGGUGGCGAAGGCGGCCACCUGGACGACAACUGACGCUGAGGUGCGAAAGCGUGGGUAGCAAACAGGAUUAGAUACCCGCGUA